UAUUCUGCCCCACGGGGAAGGAUGAGAAGCUUCGACUAAGGUUCGACUCGAGCGAAGCGAGAGAACGUUGCCGCAGGCAACGGCCCGAAGGGCGAGGAGCGAU
rnacentral:sRNA from 1 species